CUUCAAGAACACCUUUAAAAAUUUAAAGUCAAGCUUCUACAUCAAAUCAAGCCUCAUAAGGUAUGUGGGGUAAUGAACAGGGGUAUCCUUUCACACUUGUGCCUAAAUUGCAUGAUUUUAAGAUAUUAUUUAAUUAUUUUUAAGUACGGUUCAUACCCAAGUUCAUAUAAUCUUGAAGUAUGUGAUUAUUAUAAGAUUUAAAGCUUUAAGUAUAUCAAGAAGUGCUUAUGUUUAUGUUUUUAACUUACAUGAGUUAUAUAAUGAAUGAUAUUGCACUAUCUUGACUUGUUAUUGUUGGAAUAUUUUAAGAAUUAUAUUGACCUUGACGCUUUAUUAUGAAUUGACAUGAGUUUAAAGUAUGGGUUUUAAGCCAUAAGUUUGAGUAUUGAGAUUUCAAGAAGAUUAUGCUUUCAAGUAUUCUUUGAUAAGCUUAUUUUAAGAUUUAAAGAAAGAAUUUAUCUUUUGAUCCUCAGCUAAUAGAUGGAAUCCAAAUUUAUUCAUUUUGAUUAUAGUUAAAGAAAAAAGAAGCAUAAAUAGUUUUCAUUAUAAACCCUUAUGCUAUUUUAAAGUAGAUUUCCUAGAGAGCAAGCAUAUAAGUAAUAUGGGAGUAGAAUUUAGCACCGAGUUGGGUAUGAGGCCAAGGUCACAUGCCCCGGAACUAUGUGUCACCAUAGGUUUAUGUCCCAAUAUGGGUUAAUUAUAGCCAUCACUCUAGUUAGGUUCUAUUGUAAUGGCAAAGGUAGAAUAGCUAAACCAAUAUAGGUGUGAGACAUUGGACUCCAUGAUAGCUCACAUGGUUUAUGUCAGUUAGAAGAACCUCCCAAAAAAAAGAAUAAAAGUGCAACUUUUAGAAUUAAGUUUUAUGGCUCACAAAGUUUAUUCAGUAUGCUUUACUAUCCCUGAUUUAUGAUUUUCAGCUUUCAGUUAUUCAAGAUCAAGGUGAGUCAUUUACACUUAGCAUGCAUCAUUUAAAAGUUUAUAUAAAUGUUGAGUUACUAUUUUACUUGUGCAUUCACCCCCCACAAACUCAGUACAUUCUAGAAGUACUAAUCAAUAUUUAGGUGUAUGUGCUACAUUAUCUAAUGAUGUAAGUACCAGUUGUAGCCCACACAUCAUAAUCUGAUAUUGUGCAGCCUCCAAUCAGCAGGUGAUGAGACCUUUUGAUUUGAUGGCUCAAGUUAAUCAUAGUUUGAGUAGCAUCUUGUUUUAUUUAUUCAGUCGUAUUGAUUUGGGAUAGAUGGGAUUCAUGUCUCGACUACCUAUAGUCCAUACUAGUAGAGGAUUCAUAGACAGUUAGUAGAGUUGAUGUAUUUGAUUUUAGUUUUGUUUCGUAUAACAAGAGUUGAAAUUAUUUUUAAUAUUUUUGUUCGAAGAUAUUCUGCUAUUGACUUUUCUUCAUCUUAUUUCUUUAAGAUUUAUGUAUCUUAUUCAGUUGCUCAUAAUUUAUGCCAGUACAAGGGUUAGCUUUGGAUCACUUGUGGUUCUAAGAACCAUGUGACAUCCAAGGUUAGUCUCGGGGCAUUACAAACUUGUAUUAGAGCCCAUAGUUCAAGGUCCUCAUGUGUCUAUGAAGUAGUGUCUAGUAGUGUCUUGUAGAAUGGUACGGAGAUGUUUGUACUUUUCUUCGAGAGACUACAGGGCAUUUAAGAAAUAUUUUUCUUCUUCAUGCUCUAGGUCGUCCUGUAAAGUUGUUCUCUAUGAAACUUUUGUUGAUUCAUGUGUUACUCCAUAAUCCUUCAUCUAUAACUUAUUCUUGAGAUAACAUGAUUAAUAAGUUCUAGUUCCUCCCAAGGUGAUGUUCUCAGAUUUACUAUCAGUAACUUUAUAAGUCACACAAGGGGCUUGAGAGGAGCUCACUAGUGUGUUAUAAGUUUCUCAGGUUGAAAGUUAUUUCCUCAUCCUUAUGAGUUGUUCAGUUAAGACAAAGUAAGAUAUGUAUUCAGAUUUCUUGUUAACCCUUCAAUACAAAUAGUACUCAUGAGAGGAGAUAGUGUGAACCUAGAUUGGUAAAUAGAGUUUGCAUUUGAGGGAUAUUGCAACCUAGAGUGUUAUGAUUUAUAAGUAGUAGAACCUUCUUAUAGUUGAAAGUAUGGGUUUAGAAGUGUAAUGAAAAGAAAGGUGGGAAUGGCAAUUGAUUAAAAGUAAAUAGAUAAAUUUAUGCAUGGUAUCGAGUUUGUGUUAAGGUAACACGUCCUUAUGUGUCAACUUAGGGGUAAUAAAUGUAGUACUAUUUUCCUAGUGGAAUGUAGAGAAAGAGUUAUUAGUUAAGGUGAAUUGUGCUCUGCUUGAAGUAUGAAGGGAGAUCUUGAUGGUAUGUUAAGGUAUUAGAAAGGUAUGGAUCAUUAAUUAAGGUAUUAGGCUAUUAAAGAUUGUUAAUGUAGGGUUCCCCAUGUGGUUGUAAAAAAAAAUAAGUUGAGGUUUGUAGAGCUAGGGGUAUAAUUUAAAUAUAUGGAUGGAUAAGUAAUAUAGGUGUGUGGAAUAGGGAUGUUCUUAUGGAUUGUAAUUAGAUAGACUAUAAGAUUAUGAUCAAAUAUCAUUACUAUAAGGUUCUAGUGGACUAGUGUUUCCUAAUGUUUUGACAUGUAGGAAUUGUGUGUGAAUUUGUGAUUAAUCCUGGCUAGCACUAGACACUAAGUUUGAACAGUGGAUGAUCAUAAAAGUGAAAAUAAUGAUUUCUUUAUUAGUGAUACUAGAUAAAUGAAAGUGAUCUAAUAGGCUUGAACAGUGUAUGCAAGAGUUUGAGUUUAUUUAUUCGUAAUUAAGUACAAUCUUCUAAGUAUAAUAUAGAGGUGUGCCCAAGGUGAUAUGGGGAUUGAAUUAUUUUCUAAGAUUAUUAAGUGUCAUAUGUAUUUAGAUAAUUCCCAUGAGCUUUUAAGUGUGAAUAAAGCUAGUCAUAUAAUAUAUGGUAUUCUUGAUGGCUAUGUUAUAGAUUUAGGGAUAGAGGAUGCUGAGCCUUUUGGUGGGAAUUAAUUUAGUGAGACAGAUUAUGUGCUUAGUGAGGCAGGUAUGUUUGUUGAAUUAAUAGGCUAUAAGUCUAUGAUGAUGACUAUUGAAGCUAAAAAAAGUUAAGGCUGGUAUGUACUAAGAGAGUGACCAAGAGUUUAUUUAGGUGAGUGAACAUUUAUGUAUAGACCAUUAGAGCAAAGAAAUAAUGGUUCAUUCUUGAGAAUAUGGAGUAGACCCAUAAUCUUAGAAUGUCAACUUUGAUCUAAGGGGGAGAUGGUAGCGUGAAGAACCAAAUCAAGUUUUGAGAAUUAGAUUAUGAUACAUGUCAAUAAGAGUUGUGAUGAUAUAGUUAUCCCUUCUUACUCUAGAGUGUUCCUUGGAUUUCAGUCAUUAUCACACUAAACUCAUGUCUUGCGUGACAGAUCCAUGCCAAAGGACAAUACGUAUAGACUCCAUGCAUUUUCAAAUCCAUUCUUAGUUUCUAGAUAGUAAGUAACAACUUCACUCUGUGAUUUGAGUCAUCCCUCAUAAAUCUAUGAAACUCCGGUCUUAUGUUGAAUAGCUUAUGAUAAGUAUAAACUUAUGUUUCAGAGUAUGACCAGUUCUCAAAACACAUGAUACUAGUGAAAUUCUUAUUGUAUCAUGUACGUCCUCAAAUUAGAUCUCUUUAAUGAAUCCAUGCCUUUGACAUUCUAUUUUUCAAGCUUCAGUUAAGUCUCAAAGUUAUGUAUAGUAUUUUUUUCAUGCUUCAAGUCCUUAUGUGUUAUCCCUUCAGUAACCUCUUCCUAUGUUAAGAAGUGGUGAUGAUAAUGGAUGAGCAAUGGUUUAGAUAAGAAGGAGUUGAUAAUCCUCACUAACAAAAAUUAUUUAUGCUUUCUAUCUAAGGCUAAAGGAUGAAGGAAUAUUGAGGUAAAUCUUUCGUAUAUGUGAUAGUUAGUUGAGAAUUUUGGGUUUGUCAUCUUAAGCAUAGUGUAAGAAAGAUAUUGUUCAUAGAAGAUUAGAGAAUAUGAGAAGUAUGCCUUUAUGGGUGUUUUCCUUAAAGUUCAUAUGUGGUUAUAAUGAUAUGGUUAAAUGUCAUGUUGGGAUGUAAGUGGAGGAAUGCAAUAUGCACUAGUGAAUCCAUAAUUAGAGUUCAGAGUUAGUCAUUGAAGUGGUAAGGCAUGUUAUGCUUAGGGUGUGAGCUCUCGAAGAGACAUAAAAGAUUGAAUCAUGUGGUUUAGACUAGUAUUAUGGUGUAGUGUGUUAUAUCUUGUGAUUUCGAGUUAGGCUUGAUCAUGGUGAGAAAAUUUAGUUCAGUUUAAACUUUAGUAGAUGGAUUUAUCAAUGCCCAUGUGAAAAUUUUAAAUUGAAUCAAAUGAGUAUGGUAUUUAAAAGGAAUAGUAUAGUUGAGAGAGUAUUUGAGAAGUGUUGCUAAGAUUGAAAGUAAGAAGUUGCAUUGCCUAAGGCCUAGUAAUUCUAUCCUAACUUAUCAUUUAUAGGUCUAUGUUCCAUGCUAUAGAGUUGUAACAAUGUUUUGAUUCCUUAGUCAGAUGUCUUGUUCAGAUCCUUCCCAAAAUUCUUUGCUCCAUCAUAUUAUUAGAAUCUCUUAGAAGAGUGUUAGAGAAAUACUCCAUUUGAGUAUGGGCAGUCCGUAUGGUCCAAUUCAUAGAGCCUGUAAUCCAGUUUAGCAAUCAAGCAGAUAAGCUCCUAUAGAUUUCCAACUUUCCAUUUAGUCUUACUACCCCAAAAUUUCUUAAAUAAGGCCAUUCCAUGAGGUAAAAUGUUCGCAUUCAUGGAAAUUACGAAUUCAGCUCAGUUCAUGUACCUUGCAUCAGUUUUAGAGAUAGAUAUUAAGUCAUGAUUAGCUCGUGAGUGUCUCGUGCAUCAUCUCAAUCUUUCCUUAGUAUUUAAGCCAUGUCAGUAUUAUUCGAGGACGAAUGUUCCCAAGGGGGAGAUAUUAUAAUACCCCGUAUUAGGCUUAGUUUAGUUCAACUCCUAAUGCUUGCAUAAGAGACUUAGAACCUGAAAAUUUAGCUAAGUGUUGAAGACUUAGCCUUAUUUUGACUUCUUAACUUUGAGGAUUUUUAAGUUGACCUUCCAGACUCCGAGAUGAUGCUUUUUUGAGAUGAUUCAUGUUCAGGGAUAUAAGGAAAUGUAUCGGGUAAGUUUCAGAAUUUUUGGAUGAGGUUUGGGUCGUGUUUAGAUUUUAAUUCCAGCAGCUUAAUACGAUUUCACUGCAUCGCACUGGGUAUUAGGUCAUUUACCAUCACCCCAAGUCAUGAAAACAUAAGAUUAAGAGAUGGUUUAAGCAUUAUAUACCUAUUCUCAAUCAAUUUUCUCUCCAAGAAACCCUAACAUAACUCCAAAAACUCCAAAACUCCAUUGCAUUCUCUUCAAGAUAAUCAAGAAUUUUACGCCUUUAAUCUAAGAACUUCAAGAAUAAGCCUUCAAGAACAUCUUUAAGAGUUCAAAGUCAAGAUUCUACAUCAAAUCAAGCCUAAUAAGGUAUGUGGGGUUAUGAACAAGGGUAUCUUUUUACCUUUGUGUCAAAACUGCAUGAUUUUAAGAUUUUAUUUAAUUGUUUUGAAUUAGGGUUCAUACACAAGUUUAUAUAUGCUUAAAGCAUGUGAUUAUUAUGAGAUUUAAAGAUUUAAGUAUAUCACAAAGUGCUUAUGUUUAUGUUUUUAACAUACAUGAUUUAUAAUAUCAAUGGGAUUGCACAAUCUUGACUUGUUAUUGUUGGAAUAUUUCAGGAAUUAUAUUGAGCAUGACACUUUAUUAUGAAUCGACAUGAGUUUAAAGCAUGUGUUUUAAGCCCUAAGUUUGAGUAUUGAGAUUUCAAGAAGAUUAUGCUUUCAAGUAUUCUUUGAUAAGCUUAUUUCAAGAUUUAAAGAAAGUAUUGAUCUUUUUAUCCUCAGCUAAGAGAAGGAAUCCACAUUUAUUCAUUUUGAUUAUAGUUUAAAGCAAAGAGAAGCAUAACCAGUUUUCAUUGUAAAUCCUUAUGCUAUUUUAAAGUGGAUUUCCUAAAGAGCGAGCAUAUAAGUAAUAUGAGAAUAGUAUUUAGCACCAAGUUAGGUAUGAUGCCAAGGUCACAUGCUCCAAAAUUACGUAUCACCGUAGAUUUAAGUCCCAAUAUGGGCUAAGUAUAGUGAUCACUCUAGUUAUAUUCUAUUUUGAUGGCAAGGAUAGAAUAGCUCUACCGAAGUGGGUGUGAGACGUUGGAAACCAUGAUAGUUCACAUGGUUUAUGUCAGUUAGAAGAACCUCCCAAAAGAAAGAGUAAAAGUACAGCUUUAAGAACUAAGUGUUAUGGCUCACAAAGUUUAUUUUGUAUGCUUUACUAUCCAGGAUUUAUGGUUUUCAUCUUUCAGUUAUUCAAGCUCAAGGUGAGUUAUUAACACUUAGCACACAUCAUUUAAAAUUUUAUAUGAAUAUUGAGUUACCAUUUUACUUAUGCAUUCACCCCCACAUACUAAGUAUAUUCCAGAAGUAAUAAUCCAUAUAUAUGUCUAUGUGUCAUAUUAUCUCAUAAUGUAGAUACCGAUUGUAGCCCACACAUUAUAAUUAGACAGUGUGCAUAUUCUAGUCAGCAGGUGGUGAGUCUUUUUGAUUCGACGGAUCGAGUCAAUCAUAGUUCGAGUAGCAUCUUAUUGAUUCCGGAUAGCUGGGGGUCAUAUCUCGGCUACCUGUAGUCAAUACACUACAAAAAAUGGGUCUAAAUACGGGGGUUUAUUUGCGGGGGUUAUUUUAACCCCUGCAAAAUCAUAUUAAAUAUGGGGGUUAAAAAAGUUCCGCUAAAAAUUAUAUAUUUGUGGGGUUUUUAACCCUCGCUAUCCACCCAAAAAAAAUAGUGCCACCUCAAAAAAUAUUUUCCCAUUUUUUCCCCAAUAUUCCCCAAAACAUUUCUCUCUCAUAUUUUUCCCCAAUUAGAUUUGAUAGGAAACUCUCUUAGAUCUCACUAAAAAGCCAUGAAUUUCUCUCCACCAUCACCACCGACACAACAACAGCUAUCGACACCACCGCCGACCUAGCCUCAAACACCUUUACAGCCGCAAACACCACCACCACCACCGCAGCAGCAACCUUGAAUAGAAGUGCCACCAAAGUGCACCCAGCAACCAAAAUCCUCCCCAAACCCAACCACCCCUUUCGCCAUCGAAUUCAAAGACAAAGACGUCACUCCCACAACAACUAUCUCCUUUUGCCUUACUAAACCUAAAUUUGUCUACGUUCCCAACUAUUCUCGUA
rnacentral:lncRNA from 1 species